UGGCUGGCUGCUCCAAGUGCAGGGCCCGCCAAGACCACGCCCACCCGGAACUCCAGCUGACAGCGAGUGGGAACGCAGCGAGUGGGAACGCAGCCCCAGUUGCCACUCACGCCUCUCCCUCCACACCUCCCUGCAAGCUGAGGGAGCCGGCUCCGGCCUUGGCCAGCCCAGAAAGGGGCUCCCACAGUGCAGCGGUGGGCUGAAGGGCUCCUCAAGUGCCCCCAAAGUGGGAGCCCAGGCAGAGGAGGCCCCGAGAGCGAGCAAGGGCUCUGAGGACUGCCAGCACGCUGUCACCUCUCAAAACCACCUCACUUGGUUGUAGGAGGUCAUUGAAGAUUGCCUGGAGGAAGCCAUGUUCAAUGGGCACAUUUGUAGAAUGAUGUGAGCCAGCCCAUGGCAGACAUCCAGCUGAUCACACUGUGUCCACAUAAGGCAAAUGCUGAGCUGUAAUCCAUCAAGCUGUUUCCAAAUCACCAGAUCUACUCCUUGGAUGAUAAAGCAAUGCAAAUUGCAGAAAUUAGAGGUGAAAUCAAAUGGUUGAAAGGAACCCUGCUUUGAUCACUUUUUGGCUAAAUUGGAGAAUUCAUUAAGUGUUUAGAUCUCAGUUAAUGUGUAGGAAAAAAUGUCUUUCUUUUAGGUUUGCAGAGUAGCUUAGACAUAUAAUGUUUAAAUCUGUGUAUAAUUCUAGCCACAAAAUCUGUGAUCAGAAAAUAUAUUUCCUUUUUCUUCUUUAUUGAUAACAAAAGGAAUGAAGAAAUUAUAGGUCUUUAGAGAUAUCAGUGUCUUUGGAUCAUGUGAUCUGAUGGAAAGAAAGAAAAUCAAUAUUAUCUGAGUGUCAGGGAUAUAGUAAUUGCUUUCACCUAUCUUGUUGUAUUCUCAUGAUAGCUUAUUGGGUGUAACCAACUACAUGUUUGUGUUUCCUCACAAACGUUAAUCCCCAUUAUGAUGAUAUUAGAAAGUGGGACUUUUAAGAGGUAAUUAGGUAAUAAAGGUGGAGCCUUCAUAAGUGAAAUUAGUGCCAUUAUAAGAAGGACCACAGAGAGCUCUCUUAUUCUCUUUCUGCCAUGUGAGGAUGCCAACAGAGAUAGUAGCUUCUAAGAUGGAAGAAGAAUCUUACCAGAAUUGAGCCUGGUCUUGGACUUCCAGCCUCCAGAACUGUGAUAAAUAUUAGGCAUAGAGAAAAGGCCAUAUGAGUACACAGCCAGAAGGUGUCUGCCUACAAGACAAAGAGGGAAAACUUACCUGAAACCAACCCUGAUGGAUAUUGGAUUUCUAAGCUCCAGAACUAAAAGAAUCAGUUUUAGAUUCUUCCGUCACUACAUUUGCUGCCUCGUACAUUUAAUAUGAUGCUCCAAAAUGAGAAAACUGACAAGCAAGCAGAACAGACAUAAUUGCCUGAGAUUUAACUUCAGAAAGCAAAACUAAGUUUCCAAAAUAUCAAAAAUAUUUUAAGUGUUGUUGUAUUUGUUGUUAUAUUAAUACAUGAUUUGGUUUUAUUGAAAUAAAAUAAUAAAUUUUGUAUGUUCAAGUAUCACUUUUCUUCUGCCUUUAUCAAAUUUCUAAAUUGCUUGCAGGUGCAGCUACAUUCACAACAAAUUCCUUUCCUUGAGGUUAUUCUAAUGGCUCCAAUAAGAGAAAAAAAAUCUUCCUCCUAUUACACUGUAUUAAUGACU
rnacentral:lncRNA from 10 species